rnacentral:rRNA from 1 species
UACGUAGGGCGCAAGCGUUGUCCGGAAUUAUUGGGCGUAAAGAGCUCGUAGGUGGCGUGUCGCGACUGCCGUGAAAGCCCAUGGCUUAACUGUGGGUCUGCGGUGGAUACGGGCAGGCUGGAGGCUGGUAGGGGCAAGCGGAAUUCCUGGUGUAGCGGUGAAAUGCGCAGAUAUCAGGAGGAACACCGGUGGCGAAGGCGGCUUGCUGGGCCAGUUCUGACGCUGAGGAGCGAAAGCGUGGGGAGCGAACAGG